GAUGAACGCUAGCGGCAGGCUUAAUACAUGCAAGUCGAGGGGCAGCAUGGUGUAGCAAUACACUGAUGGCGACCGGCAAACGGGUGCGGAACACGUACAGAACCUUCCUUCGAGCGGGGAAUAGCCCAGAGAAAUUUGGAUUAAUACCCCAUAGUAUAGCGGAGAGGCAUCUCUCUGUUAUUAAAGAUUUAUCACUUGAAGAUGGCUGUGCGGCUGAUUAGGUAGUUGGCGGGGUAACGGCCCACCAAGCCUGCGAUCAGUAACUGGUGCGAGAGCACGACCAGUCACACGGGCACUGAGACACGGGCCCACUCCUACGGGAGCAGCAGUAAGGAAUAUUGGUCAAUGGACGAAAGUCUGAACCAGCCAUGCCGCGUGGAGGGAUGAAGGUCCUCUGG
rnacentral:rRNA from 1 species